rnacentral:miRNA from 1 species
AUGGGGAUCAGUGACUAAGCG